GGAGAAACGAGGGGGGCAAAAAAGAACCGAGAGGAAAGAGGAAAAACGGAGGCGAAGAAACGCGUUUCGCGCCAACAGUCCAAAUUGAUGUCAGAAGGGACUCCGUUGUGAGACCGAGUAAAAUAUUGUCUGAGAUAGUGUCAGGUUGAUUUCAUACGAAAUGUGGUUUUCUUAGUGUUUGAAUUACGCGACAUGGUGUUAACAAAAAAUACGUAUCGAUGUACAUCUUAUCUAUGCGCGAGUUGGAGCAGCCCUUUGUUGGCAAAAAUGAAAAUUUGAAGGAAAACCGACAUCAUGACAGGGACAAGGUAUGGUAUCAUGGAUUAGCAAAUUAAAAUCAUAGGAAAGAAUGAGGAGUAACAAGAAGAAGAUGUCUCGGAGGGGAUAGAAUUAAAGUAGGAAGGGUACAAGCGUAAAGAUUGAAAGCGCAAGAGGAUAAAGAUUGCUCCAAAAGCAUUUGGAGUAGAUGAGGUUGGAAGUGGACGCUAUAAAUAUAUAGUAAGAUACUAGAUAGAUGAACUAGCGACUUUUUUGAUGGACAACUGACGAGGUGAGCCUAGCCAAAGAUGGAAGUUCGUGCGUCGAAGGCUGCGCUAGACAGAGAGAGAAGACGCAGGUGAAUAUAGCAGGCGUGCUCGUGCGACGAAGAGAGAAUCCGUGCACAAAAGGGGCUUCCUCCCUGAGGAUGGUACUUUUGUUUCCGUCUUUGUUCUGCUCGUGAACGUUUUCUCCAGCUUUCCCGCGCCGCUCUGCUCGCCUCUCUGUCGGUUUAAUGUAAUUACCAGGAGAAGCUAGCUCUCGGCGAAACCGAACAAGUUCUUUCUCCUCAACUUCCACGGGACGGGAUCGUGGUACCUGUUCCUCAGGGUCGCGGGCAAUGUGGGUGCACCUAACGAAGCUCGAACGGAAGGCUGUGGACGAAUCGUCGGAUCGAUUCUAGGAAGACUGAUGAAUUAUUGGAAUUUCGUGCGUCGUCGCCGAAAAUAGGUUACUUCACCUUUCGAUGCCGCGAACGUUUAACAAACAUUAGGACCGUUUGUUCACAAAAAUUUACACGUCGCAAAUUGAUUACAUUUAAUCAUUCUGGUUGUAUAAAUAAUACUACGUGAUUCGUGUCUGAGUUUGUGACAGGAGCGACGACAAAGACGGGACAUAGUACUACACGUCUUAUUACACGCUUCGAAAGGCUAGGUACAAGACAAACACAUCAGUCCACGCGUUACUACGUCUUCCAAUUCGAAACGGUCGAUUAUUUUUUGCCUGUUAACUGCUGGCAGCUGCUGAUGUAAUGGUACUUGUUUUUUCGUUCUAUAGGAUGUCUAAGUCAACAGACAUUCGACGUGUAAAUCGGUUUCGACCAUCCUCGGUUACGUAAGAAUACUCUCAUCAUCCUUUCUCUUCAAUUUCCGGUAUCCAGUGGUGGACUGAUAAACGACAACAGCUGACGAUUGUUUGUUAUCGAUCAACCUCGAUGACUAAGGACCUCAGGGAGGAAGUCUAAACGAAGAAUAAGCCACGGAGAUUUGAACAUACCGAACCAUCAUCGCUACCUAUCAUUUACAUUUGAUUUAGUCUUGGGUAUGAGAGACGCUGAUACUACGAUCCUCGUUCAGGAAAUUUCCAAGAGUUAUGCAACCAACAUUGAAUUACAUGAAUAAUUUUGAAUUUGCUGAAUAAUAAUGCCACGGGUCGCGCGGAACAGGGUAGAAUAUUAUUCGAAAUAGUGAAACAGUGUGUUUCAUCUUAAACCAUGAUGCAGAACUGCGGAAAUAAAGUAGUUUAUUUGUUUUAAUUCAUUCUCGUAUGCAGUUACAUAGCUCUAAGUACGGUGAAACUAAGUAACUUUGUUUUUGAAUAACGUGCACCGUGUCUCGCGUUACUGGAUGGUGCAUACGUGCAUUAUCGCGGUAUAUGUAUAUAUUUUCUGCGCGAAGAAGUGGGCGCAACUGGUUCACGGGCUUCGCGCGUAAAAUACUAAAGGUUAAGGUCAGUCGAUGCAUGAUAUUAUUAUGUUUCGUAAUGCAUGACAUAAGUGAGAAAUAAACCAUCCUUAACGAGUCCCAAUCUCAAGGAACUUCUCUUGCGACGAGACACUCUUUGUAAUUCUCUGAAGCAGCGGUCGAUUUAAAUGACAAACGCCAGGGAAGUGAUUAUCGAUCGAUGUUAUCCAGAGCAUGCAAUCCAAUGUGAGUGGUUUUCUAAAUCUACAAAUGUAGCUUGGCGCACACAGUCGAGAGAUUCCAACGCACCAAGAGUAUCAGGAUUUAUUUUCUCGCAAAGUAUCAGAAGACCGAGAAUGUAGGACAAGAAAGUUGAACAAGAGUCUCGACGAAACCCGACCAAAGUUAAAGAAAGCUUCGAUGGAGGUUCUUCAAAAAAGAAAAAAAGAAAGAAACGGGCAAUGGACGAACGAAGCCCGAUAAAAAAAAAAAAGGCGGUUCGUUGGAAGAAACGUUGAUAAAAGAGAAGAGAAAAGAGGCAAAUUAGUCCGCAGGACAUAUCGGUUAUCGAUAAAAAUUCUGCCAAAUGAAUUACGCGGAACCUCUGCAGUAUCGUCGAUAGCGACGAUCAGGGAGCCAAAGGGACGAAGGAGAUAUGGAACGUGAAACGAGACGCGCUGUCGGGAGCCAAUUCGGUUAUCCCGUUGGCGGCAACGAGAUAAAUAUCAAUAUUAAUCAAGUCACGGGUGCGUAACGUUGUAAACUCGCGGUGAAUCGUUCAAAUCGCGACGGGAUUGACGGUUCUGAAAGCUGACAGGUUCACAUUGCUAUCAAGGGGCUGGAUAAAAAGAUAAGCAUUUCUGUAUGUAGCCAUAGAGCAUAAAACUGAAUAGAUGCAACAUUUUCUGAUACACUUCAACGACUAGGAAAAGAAGAAGAACAGAAGAUGUCGACAUCGAUCUCAACAGAUUAACGCAAUCCCACGGUUAGCGGAGCUUAAUGAGAACUUGUUCACUUCGAUUCCGUAUAAAGGCAAGAAUCGUAAUCGAAUUUGCUCCAAACAUUGCGCAACAACGUUGUUUACGUCAAUGACAUCCCUCGUGUUACGGCAACAGUCUAUGCACCAUGAAAAUAAAAUGGAUAACAAAACGAUAUUUUGUA